GGGCCACCACGUGGGUGCCCCCCGGCGCCGGGGCCAGUUGCCGGGCGUCGAUGUUCAGGUCUCUCUCCACGCCCCGGAGCAGCUCCUCCAUGUCGGGCCCUGAAGGUGGGCAACAGCCCUCGACCCCCGCCGGUCCUGCGCUCCGGGGUGCAGCGGGGCGGGCAGCGCCGAGCGCCAGCUCUCUGCUCCACCGUGAUGGGUCAGCUGAUGCUGGUCAUGUGAUCUCCCAGACACGGAAACAACAGCACGUGUCUCUAAAGGCACCGGGCUUCUUCCCAGCCUCGCUUGGUUCUGGGACCACCCGAACGACUCAGCCGCCCUUAGGUGCAGAGGAGGAUCAUCCUGAACAAGACACUGGACCGCUCCCAUCCCUGAUUUCUCCUGCAGGCUCUGAGCCGCGGAUGGAGUGAGGCUCACCUUGGAAAUGCCAGCCCUUUAGCCAGGCGUCUGCUCUGCCAACAGCAGAUCCAGGCCUUUACACAGCACCCUCUCAGCGCUCCCACGCUACUCUACACACCAAGGAGUUUAAUUUUCCGAAGCAUUUGGUUAAUAACUUGCCAUUUGGCCCUCACAACGAUCUAGGAAAUAGAGAAGUGGCCCAGGCAACAGAGGCCUGGAGUUCUUAAAGGAAAAGUUCUCCCGAGACUUCCUGUUGAAAAUGCAGAUGCACAGAACCAGUUAGCAUGGUGACAGCCUUGCAGACGCCACUGUGGCUCUUGGUGCAGCACAGGACAGGGAACAGAAACCAGAGGGCCUGUGCUCAAAGCUCCCAAUAAAAGUUUUGGUUCUGGCUCAUGUACAGUCCCAGCCAGCAAACAACUUGUUUUCAAAUGUGCUCGGACACAUUUGAGCGUGUGUGUGUGUGUGUGUGUGUGUGUGUAAGUCUCUACCUAAGAGUUUGGUGCUGAGGUUCAGGCCCUUAAAAGCACUUAAAAAGAGGGACGAGAGCUGGUGCAGCAGUUAAAACCACUUCUGCUCCAGGGGAUCUCACAGCCAGCUUCCACAAGCACUCACACACCCACACUUAUACACAUAUAGAAGAAUAACUCAGUUUUAGAAAUUAAAAUCCAGGUGUGGUGGCACAACCUUUAAUCCCAGCAUUUGAGAGGCAGAGACAGGCCAGAUCUCUGUGAGUUCCAGACCAGCAAAGGCUACGUAGUGAGACCCUAUCUCAAAAUAAAAUAAGACAGAUCCGCCAGAAGAUUACUGCUAGUUCAAAGCCAGUGCACUUGAGACUUCCAGGGCAGCCAGGGCUGCACAACAAGAUCUAACUCAAAAAAGACAGGGGAGAGAGGAAAGAGGCCCAGAGAACGACAACAGUGCUUUAGA